UGGGGGAUUUUGCACAAUGGGCGCAAGCCUGAUGCAGCGACGCCGCGUGAGGGAUGAAGGCCUUCGGGUUGUAAACCUCUUUCGCUGGGUUGAAAGGCCAUGCUUUGGGUGUGGUUGAUUUGAACUGGUAAAGAAGUACCGGCUAACUACGUGCCAGCAGCCGCGGUAAUACGUAGGGUACUAGCGUUGUCCGGAUUUAUUGGGCGUAAAGGGCUUGUAGGUGGUUUGUCGCGUCUGUCGUGAAAUCCUGUGGCUUAACCAUGGGCUUGCGGUGGGUACGGGCAGGCUUGAGUGCGGUAGGGGAGACUGGAAUUCCUGGUGUAGCGGUGGAAUGCGCGGAUAUCAGGAGGAACACCGGUGGCGAAGGCGGGUCUCUGGGCCGUUACUGACACUGAGGAGCGAAAGCGUGGGGAGCGAACAGG
rnacentral:rRNA from 1 species